rnacentral:rRNA from 1 species
UACAGAGGGUGCGAGCGUUAAUCGGAAUUACUGGGCGUAAAGGGCGCGUAGGCGGUCAUAUGUGUGGGAUGUGAAAGCCCUGGGCUUAACCUAGGAAACGCAUACCAAACUGUGUGACUGGAGUAUAUGAGAGGGUAGCGGAAUUUCCGGUGUAGCGGUGAAAUGCGUAGAGAUCGGAAGGAACGCCAAUGGCGAAGGCAGCUACCUGGCAUAAUACUGACGCUGAGGCGCGAAAGCGUGGGGAGCAAACAGG